AGAAUCAACGCUGGCGGCGUGCCUAACACAUGCAAGUCGCACGAGAAAGGGACUUCGGUCCUGAGUAAAGUGGCGCACGGGUGAGUAACACGUGAAUAAUCUACCUCCGAGCGGGGAAUAACUGAGAGAAAUCUUAGCUAAUACCGCAUAAUACCCACGGGUCAAAGCAGCAAUGCGCUUGGAGAGGAGUUCGCGGCCGAUUAGCUAGUUGGCGGGGUAAUGGCCCACCAAGGCGAUGAUCGGUAU
rnacentral:rRNA from 1 species